rnacentral:lncRNA from 1 species
ACAUAGUAACAACAUUGUCCAAGUGCAUAAUAUUACACCACAUAAAAGUAUCAAUAUCUUCAACCUUGAGAAAAUUUUUGAAGUCAAAUUUUUUUAUGCUUCUUACUUUUAACUAAAAAAGCUUUGGCCUCGGAUUCAUGACUCACUAGAUAAUCAAACACAGAACACAAGAAGUCAUCAUCAAAUCCUUCUUCCUCCAUCGACAUCACUUGUUCAUAAAGCUGUG